rnacentral:rRNA from 1 species
GAUGAACGCUAGCGGCAGGCCUAAUACAUGCAAGUCGAACGGUGUAGCAAUACACAGUGGCGCACGGGUGCGUAACACGUAUGCAACCUGCCUUACAUUGGGGGAUAGCCUUUCGAAAGGGAGAUUAAUACCGCAUAAGACAGUAACUAGGCAUCUAGUAGCUGUUAAAGAUUUAUCGAUGUAAGCUGGGCAUGCGUCCAAUUAGUUAGUUGGCGAGGUAAUGGCUCACCAAGACGAUGAUUGGUAGGGGAACUGAGAGGUCAAUCCCCCACACUGGCACUGAGAUACGGGCCAGACUCCUACGGGAGGCAGCAGUAGGGAAUAUUGGGCAAUGGGCGCAAGCCUGACCCAGCCGUGCCGCGUGCAGGAAGAAGGCGUUAUGCGUUGUAAACUGCUUUUAUACAGGAAGAAACGACCCUUGCGAGGGGCAUUGACGGUACUGUAUGAAUAAGCACCGGCUAACUCCGUGCCAGCAGCCGCCGUAACAC